GUGCUCACUUUGGCAGCACAUAUACUAAAAUUGGAACUAUACAGAGAAGUUUAGCAUGGCCCCU
rnacentral:snRNA from 1 species